GACGAACGCUGGCGGCGUGCCUAAUACAUGCAAGUUGAGCGCUGAAGGUUGGUACUUGUACCAACUGGAUGAGCAGCGAACGGGUGUGUAACGCGUGGGGAAUCUGCCUUUGAGCGGGGGACAACAUUUGGAAACGAAUGCUAAUACCGCAUAAAAACUUUAAACACAAGUUUUAAGUUUGAAAGAUGCAAUUGCAUCACUCAAAGAUGAUCCCGCGUUGUAUUAGCUAGUUGGUGAGGUAAAGGCUCACCAAGGCGAUGAUACAUAGCCGACCUGAGAGGGUGAUCGGCCACAUUGGGACUGAGACACGGCCCAAACUCCUACGGGAGGCAGCAGUAGGGAAUCUUCGGCAAUGGACGAAAGUCUGACCGAGCAACGCCGCGUGAGUGAAGAAGGUUUUCGGAUCGUAAAACUCUGUUGGUAGAGAAGAACGUUGGUGAGAGUGGAAAGCUCAUCAAGUGACGGUAACUACCCAGAAAGGGACGGCUAACUACGU
rnacentral:rRNA from 1 species